rnacentral:rRNA from 1 species
UACAGAGGUGGCAAGCGUUGUUCGGAAUUACUGGGCGUAAAGGGCGCGUAGGCGGCCAUCUAAGUCAGACGUGAAAUCCCCCGGCUUAACCUGGGAACUGCGUCUGAUACUGGAAGGCUUGAGUAUGGGAGAGGGAUGUAGAAUUCCAGGUGUAGCGGUGAAAUGUGCAGAUAUCAGGAAGAACACCCGUGGCGAAGGCGGCUCUCUGGGACGGUACUGACGCUGAGACGCGAAAGCGUGGGGAGCGAACAGG